ensembl:lncRNA
AAUUGGUUGUUUUAUUUUAUUUGAUGCUGAAUAAAACCAUAAUAAUUGAAUACUUUUCAUGUAGAUGUUAUAUAGGUGUGGCAGUGCAUUGUGAACUUUAGAGCAGCUACUUACAAAAUGCAUUUUUCAUGAGUACGUACUUUUUAGCAUUGGGUGUUUGAUAGCUAGGUCUUGAGCAGUGGUGUGUGCACUGUUACAUAGUGAUGCAUCUUGUUGUUAUGCUCGGCCUUCAUGUUUAUUCCAGUGUCUCCCCCUUGACAAGGCUGCAAACUCUCCAUAUGCAUCGACCAAGUGUUCAAAGGCCAAACACCAGUUCACUGUGGGGGAACUCCAGUAAAACGCCUGUCAGGUCUGUCUAAUGCAUGUCACCCAGUUACUAGCACCACUAUGGGGAAUGUGUGAAAUGUAGUUAGAUCUGCUUCACAUCCCAGACUACACCUUCAAUACUGUUCUCAAGUAUUUGUUUAAGGGUGAAUAUAGAGCUGCAGAGGUUGUGUGAUGGAGACUCAAGGCCAGUAUUCAGAGUGGUGCUGCAUUAGGCUGGUUUGCAGGAGCAGUUUAUCAGAAUAUGAAGGACAAUGAUGCAUGAAAUGUCUUUUCUAAAUGUCAAGUGAAGCCCAGUUAUAAAAAGGCAUUUAAAUAGAUUUUGCUUUACAGAAUUAAAGUGAGUAUUAUUUGCCUUGAAUCCUCCUGCAAACACACAAUUGAAUAUUUACCAUCUAUUUAUGCAGUUUAUUUCUGAAUAUAUUUGGACAAUAUUAUAAUUACUGUUUAUGUUUUAAUAUUUUGUGUCUUUCUUACUCCAAACUGAAGUCUCCUCAAAACCAUACACUUUUACUGCUUAUUAUUUACUUGCUGCUUAUUAACUGUUGGAUCGUGAUUUGAUUAACAUUUGAUUAAUUGUACAGCUCUAGUAUACACUUUGAUUUAACUGUACAUUUCUAUUCCACUCGUGCCCAUAUACGGCCUAUUCCUGCCCUGAAAUUAAACGCAGGACAAUGUGAGCUGAGUAUCUUCUCAUGAGUGCAGGGGCCGGGCCAGAGGCAGCUGUGCAGACCAAAGCCUGAGGAUCUCUUUAUAGUCUCCAAUGUGUUGUCAGUCUGUCUUUCAUCUCAUGCCCUCAAAGGCGGGCCAGAUUUCAUGAUGUGGCUGCUUUAUUCAGCCUGAUGUGCUGUUGUUGCCGUUCUCAGUAUCAGUGCGGUUCUGGUCCGUAGCUCUGAGCUCUGAGGCGGCGUAAUUUGGUGGAAAGCUGAGCGAGAACAUCUGUUAUACAAAGUUUCGCCUCCUCGGGCUUCUGGGAAAAAUAAUAUGAGGCCAGCCUAUUGCAGUGAGGAGCCUCCAAUCAUCUGGUUCAAGGGUCAGUUAGACAGUAGUUUGUUGUGUUAGGAAGAAAAAUGUUACUCAUUAUCAUUAGUAUAAAAUCACAGGCCUCAAAAUUAUGCCCAUGUGUUGUUGUAGUCUUUUUUGUGAGGGAAAAAGCAGAGUGACAUGAAGGUGAAG